UACGAAGGGUGCAAGCGUUACUCGGAAUCACUGGGCGUAAAGCGUGUGUAGGCGGUCCGGUAAGUCCGCUGUGAAAGUCGGGGGCUCAACCCUCGGAUGCCGGUGGAUACUGUCGGGCUUGAGUACGGAAGAGGCGAGUGGAAUUCCUGGUGUAGCGGUGAAAUGCGCAGAUAUCAGGAGGAACACCAAUUGCGAAGGCAGCUCGCUGGGACGUUACUGACGCUGAGACUCGAAAUCGUGGGGAGCAAACAGG
rnacentral:rRNA from 1 species